CUUCACCGAGCCGAGGUGCAGCGGCCGGUCCGCGGCACGGUUGCGCCCGUAGGUGGCGAGCAGCGCCUGCGCCUC
rfam:Couchioplanes caeruleus subsp. caeruleus strain DSM 43634 Cont001, whole genome shotgun sequence.